UUUAAACUUGCCUUAUUCAAUUUUACAGAUUUUUAAAUGUAUAAUUCUUUAAAAAAAAUUCUUAAAAUCCUACAGAGGGGAAGGAGAGAAAAAUAGAGCCAGCAGGAAGAUUGUUCUGCAUGCAGCCAACCAGGGUUAAAUCCCUAGCACUCCAUAUGGUCCCCAAGCACCACGAGAAGUGACACCUCAGCACAGAGCCAGGAAGAAGCCAGAAAACAUUAUCGUGUAUGUCAAAAUUCUGAAGGAAUCCAUUAAAGCUAUUAAAACUAAUAAGCAGACUCAUCAAGGAUAUAAGGUGAACAAACAACCUGAUUGAUCUAUCUACUCUUCCACAUUUCUACUUCAAAUAUUCUUUUUUGAUAAGAAGUAACAUUAAACAGAUUACCACAGA